UACCACACCAAGCUUUCCAUUGCCGCAAACUGCCCGAGGCACUGGAUAAAAAGUGUGGUUAUAGUAAACUAUUCCACUAGCGAUUAAACUGCAGUUGGUCCUGAAUGGCAACUACGGUUAACAACUUCUGGAACA
rnacentral:snoRNA from 1 species